UAGAGUCACAUGAUGACUGGGUGGAGCCAAGAGGGGAAACGAAACAGAUGCAGCCACAAUGGAGCUGGUAGGAGCAUUCACAAAACCGGGUAAAAUAAGCUAAUCACUCAAAGUGAGAAAUGGAGCAGAAAAAGAUGGCAGCUAUGAAUCAGAGCCCAUCUAGAGAAGUGCCCCAGAGAGGGCUGGCAGAUUCAGAUCUUAGCACAGUGAUGUCCAAAAUGACAAUUAAUAAACACCAAGCCGAUCCUGAGUGUGAGAACAUAACACCGACUUCACCUGUAUCGAGCUGUGUGUCAAUGAAAAGUGACCAUUCAAUGAACCCUCCACUGAAGUUUCAGGAAGAAUCAUCAAGCAUUCCCGGGGGAAAACCACUUUCGCCUGUACCGAGCUGUCUGUCAAUGAAAAGUGAUAAUUCAAUGAACCCUCCACUGAAAUUUCAAAGUGAAACAUCACAAGUGCACAGGGGAAAACAAGCUUCGCCCGUACCGAGCUGUCUGUCAAUGAAAAGUGAUAAUUCAAUGAACCCUCCACUGAAAUUUCAAAGUGAAACAUCACAAGUGCACAGGGGAAAACAAGCUUCGCCCGUACCGAGCUGUCUGUCAAUGAAAAGUGAUAAUUCAAUGAACCCUCCACUGAAAUUUCAAAGUGAAACAUCACAAUUGCACAGGACGAUAAAACAGGAGAGAUCCCACACAUCAGCACCCAGCUGUGCGUCUCUCAAAAGUAACUGGUCUCUGGACCUACCAGACUCUUUUAACAAAUCUUCUGGGCACAGGUAAGAGUUCUGAAGCACAUUUACCAGUUAUGUUUUGGAGGCAUGGUUUCCCAAAGGUGUAAUUUUUACUAUGUUGGAAGAGAGUGCUGUCUAACAUGUCAUUCCAAUAUCUGACUCUGAACGCUAUAGCGUAGACUUAACAUCAAUUUACAUCAUACUCGUCAAAUCCUUCAAUGAGCACUCAUGUCCAUAAUACCUGUGUCUAGCUAUUAUGAGCCUUUGCAUUGAUUCUACAAGUCUCUGGAACUGUACUACAGGGACAGAAUACUGUUCUUCUAAAAAGAUAUUCCCUGAGGUGUUGAUUUGAUGAUGG
ensembl:lncRNA